rnacentral:lncRNA from 1 species
AACUGAGGGACAGCCCGCCCAGGGGAAGAACGAAGAGCAGAGACAGAGAGCCUGGAAAAGGAUUUCCCAUUUUGGCUACACUUCACAGGCAGCACAUUAUAUGGAAGUACACAGCAGUUCCCCCCUUAUCUGCAAAGGACAUGUUCAGAGAUCUCCAGUGGAUGGCUGAAACCAUGGAUAGUACUAAAUCCUAUAUAUACAGUGGUUUUUUUCCUAUACAUAUAUAUGAUAAACUUUAUACAUUAGGCACGGACAUACGGUCCUCCUGUGCAAAUAAUGUACAUAACUCACAAACGUCCUGCUUAUCAUCAAGCACUUCAACUUAUCAUCAAACACCUCUGCUGACAGAAGAAUGCAAGCAAGCUGCCUACUGCCUUGGUGUUAUCAGUCAGCCCGAGAACCAUCCUCUAAAACCCUCAGCAAGCCUUUGUUCCCUGCACUCAGCUCCUCUCCUGCUGGUUCUGCUCAUUUCGACCUUGCGAUGUAUAUCCCACUUUCUCUAAUAAAUCUGUCUUUCUUUACCUACAACUGUCUUGGGAAAUUCUUUUACCCCAGCACCAGUGGCCCUGAAAGGUGCUGCUCACCCGCGACAGGGUUCGUAUACUGAAACAAACGCAAGCUCUGACUAUGUUUUCAGAAAAAAAAUCGCAGGUUGUUCUUUAAUCAGAUUUCUGCUGAGCGCUUAUCUGUUUCCUCUAAGAAUAAGGGGGAGAGGAAGUGUUAUUUCUAAAAAGGAUAUUUUAAAUGACCUCCAAGUUCACUGAGAAGCCAUAGCACUUCCUUUCAACUUUAAUUUCCCUUUGUGGCCCCUCACCUUUUAGCAAAGUCACAUGAGUGUGCAUCUGGCUGCCCUGUGCGCAGAGACAGGGGCUGGGGGCGGGCAUGGGAGGGCCUGAGAAGCUAAGUCCCCAGCUGCCCUUGACCACCAGCAGGGUAUAUUGUAAGAGCUAAAUUAGGAGGUUCUGGGUUUUAAUUAAGAAAGGAGAAACUGGCUGGGCACAGUGGCCCACUCCUGUAAUCCCAGCACCUUGGAAGGCCAAGGUGGGUGGAUCACUUCGGGCAAGGAGUUUGAGACCAGCCUGGCCAACAUGGUGAAACCCUAUCUCUACAAAAACAACACAAAAAUGAGCCGGACGUGGUGGCACAGGCCUGUAAUCCCAGCUACUACUUAGGAGGCUGAGGCACAAGAAUCACUUGAACCUGGGAGGUGGAGGUUGCAGUGAGCUAAGGUCG